rnacentral:rRNA from 1 species
GUCGGGAAUAUUGCUCAAUGGGCGCAAGCCUGAAGCAGCAACGCCGCGUGCGCGAUGAAGGCCUUCGGGUCGUAAAGCGCUUUUUGGUGGGAUGAGGAAGGACAGUACCGCCAGAAUAAGGUACGGCUAACUACGUGCCAGCAGCCGCGGUAAAACGUAGGUACCGAGCGUUAUCCGGAUUUACUGGGCGUAAAGCGUGUGCAGGCGGUCGUGCAAGUCGGGCAUGAAAGCCCCUGGCUCAACUAGGGGAAGCUGUCUGAUACUGCAUGACUUGAGGGCUCGAGAGGGCGAUGGAAUUCCGCAUGUAGUGGUGAAAUGCGUAGAGAUGCGGAGGAACACCAGUGGCGAAAGCGGUCGCCUGGCGAGCCCCUGACGCUCAGACACGAAAGCUAGGGGAGCGAACGGGAUUAGAAACCCGGGUAGUCC